GAUUACAUGAGCUACAGGAUUUAUAAUUUUGAGUACUAUGAUGAGAGGGAAAAGUGUGCAGUGAUAAGCUUUAUGGAAAAGUCAUGUUUCAUUAAGUGCGAAUUUCACAUCUGGCUGACUGGUGGCUCUGGAUCUUAUCAUAAUUGCUUGCUAGAAUACGAGUACUUAUGCGGACAUCGGAAAUAUUACAACCUUUAUAAUCCUCGUGACUGCAAAUUCUAGCAAACAUAGGAUUGUACUAUUUCAAAACAGUUUGAAAGUUCUGCCGGGAUAUUAAAUGUUCAAACAUUGUCUG